CGCGUGUAGCAGUGAAAUGCGUAGAUAUGCGGAGGAACACCGAUGGCGAAGGCAGCCCCCUGGGAUGACACUGACGCUCAUGCACGAAAGCGUGGGGAGCAAACAGGAUUAGAUACCCUGGUAGUCCACGCCCUAAACGAUGUCAACUAGCUGUUGGGGCCUUCGGGCCUUAGUAGCGCAGCUAACGCGUGAAGUUGACCGCCUGGGGAGUACGGUCGCAAGAUUAAAACUCAAAGGAAUUGACGGGGACCCGCACAAGCGGUGGAUGAUGUGGAUUAAUUCGAUGCAACGCGAAAAACCUUACCUACCCUUGACAUGUCUGGAAUCCCGAAGAGAUUUGGGAGUGCUCGCAAGAGAACCGGAACACAGGUGCUGCAUGGCUGUCGUCAGCU
rnacentral:rRNA from 1 species